GACGUAGGGUGCAAGCGUUGUCCGGAUUUAUUGGGCGUAAAGAGCUCGUAGGCGGCUUGUUGCGUCGACUGUGAAAACCCGCGGCUUAACCGCGGGCUUGCAGUUGAUACGGGCAGGCUAGAGUUCGGUAGGGGAGACUGGAAUUCCCGGUGUAGCGGUGAAAUGCGCAGAUAUCGGGAGGAACACCAAUUGCGAAGGCAGCUUGCUGGGACGGUACUGACGCUGAGGCGCGAAAGCGUGGGGAGCAAACAGG
rnacentral:rRNA from 1 species